GACGAACGCUGGCGGCGUGCUUAACACAUGCAAGUCGAACGGAAAGGCCCUGCUUGCAGGGUACUCGAGUGGCGAACGGGUGAGUAACACGUAGGUGAUCUGCCCUGCACUUCGGGAUAAGCUUGGGAAACUGGGUCUAAUACCGGAUAGGAGCCAUCUUUAGUGUGGUGGUUGGAAAGUUUUUUCGGUGUAGGAUGAGCUCGCGGCCUAUCAGCUUGUUGGUGGGGUAAUGGCCUACCAAGGCGGCGACGGGUAGCCGGCCUGAGAGGGUGUACGGCCACAUUGGGACUGAGAUACGGCCCAGACUCCUACGGGAGGCAGCAGUGGGGAAUAUUGCACAAUGGGCGCAAGCCUGAUGCAGCGACGCCGCGUGGGGGAUGAAGGCCUUCGGGUUGUAAACUCCUUUCGCUAGGGACGAAGCUUUGUUGUGACGGUACCUAGAUAAGAAGCACCGGCUAACUACGUG
rnacentral:rRNA from 1 species